rnacentral:tRNA from 1 species
AUGGUAGAACGAGAGCUUCCCAAGCUCUAUACGAGGGUUCGAUUCCCUUCGCCCGCUCCA